UAGAGCAUUCGCCUUUUAAGCGAAGGGUCCUGGGUUCGAUUCCCAGGCGGCCCA
rnacentral:tRNA from 1 species